rnacentral:rRNA from 1 species
CAGCAGCCGCGGGAAUACGAAGGGGGCUAGCGUUGUUCGGAUUUACUGGGCGUAAAGCGCACGUAGGCGGAUCGAUCAGUCAGGGGUGAAAUCCUGGAGCUCAACUCCAGAACUGCCUUUGAUACAGUCGAUCUCGAGUCCGGAAGAGGUGAGUGGAACUCCUAGUGUAGAGGUGGAAUUCGUAGAUAUUAGGAAGAACACCAGUGGCGAAGGCGGCUCACUGGUCCGGUACUGACGCUGAGGUGCGAAAGCGUGGGGAGCAAACAGGAUUAGAUACCCGGGUAGUCCCUGUCUCUUAUAC